UGGCUCUCGCAUCGAUGAAGAACGCAGCGAAAUGCGAUAAGUAAUGUGAAUUGCAGAAUUCAGUGAAUCAUCGAAUCUUUGAACGCACCUUGCACCCUCGGGCAUUCCCGAGGGUAUGUCUGUCUGAGUAUCAUUUGAACUCUCAAAGUCCCCCUCUCCCUUUGUGGAGUCAGGGGGCUUUGGAUCGUGGGCGCCUGCCGGCUCUGAUCGGCUCGCCUCAAAUCGAAGGUGGCGGUCUUCUCUGAAGCCUGCGCCGGGUUUGACCUGGAGUGAUAGAAGUCUUUCGAGAUCUCCUGGGACCCGCCUUGUGCGGACCCGUCGCGGUGGGAGGGGUCGCCUGAACUUGGACUCAUCUGACGUUUUCGAUCUCAGAUCAGGCAGGACUACCCGCUGA
rnacentral:misc_RNA from 1 species